AAUGACUGUUCUUUUAUCUUUUAAGUAAUUUGCAAUUACAUUUGUAGUUUAUUGUUGAAAUGAGCUAUGAUCUUUUCACCAUGGACGAACAGGUGGCUCCUAGCUGAAGUAAAGGUGAAAUGUACCUGUGUGUAAACACACCUGAGAUACUUCUUCCUUAAAGAGCAAUCAUAUGUAUGGGUCAGAAGCAAACUAAAGAUCAAACUUUAUUGAACAAGUAGCUAAGCAAAGAGUUGAUCUAAGUUUUUCUUCCUAAUCCUUUUAUAUAUAUAUAUAUAUAUAUAUAUAUAUAUAAAAUGAUUACUUUUAUUCAUCAGUGCUUCAUUAUCAGAAUCCUCAAAAUGUUUUCAGCCUGGUGAAUGUUUUCAGUAACAUGCAAUGUACAAACUGUUAGAAUUAACAUCUGUUCAAUUGAAGUGAGCCCAAGUGUGGAAUUUGAGCCCAAAUCUGGGGUUUUGUGACCGCUGGCUUGCUAAAACAUCCUCUCCAUCGGCCACCGCAACACGUGGCAGAAUUGUUCAGCUUGGGGCUUCCCACAGACCAAAUGCAUUUCUAGUGUAACGUGACUGGCUCCAACACUUCACUCCAGAAAUAACAUCGUUGAACUGUGAUCUCAUCUGCUUAUUUUGAUAAUUCACAUUAUCUUACUGUAAUGGUUUCAUAUCUAAAAGAAUUUGCAUUUUGCUCUCCUAAGGAAAAAGGUAAGAUUAAAUGUCAACUAAGCAUGAUGUGAACGAGCAGUACCUGGAAGGUGACUUUGGAAACGAAAAAAAUUAUUGGACUUAAGUCACUUUUUUUUCCAUGAUGGAGACUGAGCAGAACAGCAAUAUUUUCACCACGUCCUUGCUGCAAGUUUUGAGUAAAAAUGGGAGGAAAACCAAAAAUUGAUGCUCUGAGGGGAAUUCUGACGGCUCUCCAAACCUCUGCCUUCUAUCAGGUUUCGAAACGGACAUUUUGGUGGAGAAAUGGCGAGGAUUUAACACCAUUUCCUUGCCAGGCGCUGAGGAAAUUCCCGGCGGGGCCCGACAGCCGCUGUGCCCGGGGCCGCUCCCGCCGUGACUCAGCGCCCGCCCUGAGGCGCGGCGCCGAGGGCCGGGGUCUCGCUGCGCGGGCUCUGCCCCCGGGCGUCGCCUCAGAGCCGAGCGGGGCGCGGCCGCUCCCCACCCCCCUCCACACCCCGGUUUCGUCCCGGAGCGGUGCCGCUGCCUCCCUCCGCCCGCUACCGGGCGGCGCCUCAGGCCGGGGGGGACCGCCAGGCGAGGCGAGGCGAGGCGGGAGGGAGGCUGGGCGCCGGGCCUCCCCCGGGAGCGGCGCCUCGGCCCGGCCCGGCCCCGGCCGAGCCCGCCCCUCUCCCAGUCUCCUCCGCGGCUCCCCCUCCCCGAGCCGGGCGGGGCCGCAGCUCGCAGCGCCGCCGCUCCUUGUGCCGCCUCUCCCCGCUGACCAAGGGCACCGCCGGGACCCUCUCCGGCCGCCCCCCCCCGUCCCCGCCGCCGCCUCAGCCGCAGCCGGCGCUGCCCGCGGAGCCGCCAUGAGCUGGGGCACGGAGCUGUGGGAUCAGUUCGAUAACUUAGACAAGCAUACGCAGUGGGGCAUUGACUUCUUGGAGAAAUAUGCAAAAUUUGUAAAAGAAAGGAUAGAAAUUGAGCAAAACUAUGCAAAACAACUGAGAAAUCUGGUUAAGAAGUACUGUCCUAAACGUUCAUCCAAAGAUGAAGAACCCAGGUUUACUUCAUGUAUUGCCUUUUUUAACAUCCUUAAUGAGCUGAAUGACUAUGCAGGACAACGUGAAGUAGUUGCAGAAGAAAUGGGACACAGAGUCUAUGGAGAAUUGAUGAGAUACUCUCAUGAUCUAAAAACUGAGAGAAAAAUGCAUCUUCAGGAAGGGCGAAAGGCUCAACAAUAUCUGGACAUGUGCUGGAAACAGAUGGAUAAUGUAAAUUAUAAUAAUGCUAUAAUGCUAUCAUAUAAUAAUGCUAAGCAACAGUUAAACCUGCGCACACACAUGGCUGAUGAAAACAAAAAUGAAUAUGCUGCACAACUACAGAAUUUUAAUGGGGAACAACACAAACAUUACUACAUUGUCAUUCCUCAGAUUUAUAAGCAACUUCAAGAAAUGGAUGAAAGAAGGACCAUCAAACUCAGUGAAUGUUACAGGGGCUUUGCUGACUCUGAGCGCAAGGUUAUUCCGAUAAUCUCUAAAUGCUUAGAAGGGAUGAUCCUUGCAGCAAAAUCAGUUGAUGAACAUAGGGACUCCCAGCUAGUGAUAGACUGCUUCAAAUCUGGUUUUGAACCUCCUGGAGAUUUUCCAUUUGAAGAUUACAGUCAGAAUAUUUACAGAACUAUCUCUGAUGGAACCAUCAGUACACCAAAGCAGGAAGGAAUGAGAAUUGAUUCAAAAACUACAGUGGGCAAGGCUAAAGGAAAGCUGUGGCUGUUUGGAAAGAAGCCAAAGGGCCCUGCACUAGAAGACUUCAGCCACCUCCCUCCAGAACAAAGGCGCAAGAAACUGCAGCAGAGAAUUGAUGAACUCAACAGAGAACUACAGAAGGAAACUGACCAAAAAGAUGCCCUCAUCAAGAUGAAAGAUGUUUAUGAAAAAAAUCCCCAGAUGGGUGAUCCAAGCAGUCUGCAACCAAAAUUAGCUGAGACAAUGAGCAACAUGGACCGUCUUCGGAUGGAAAUACACAAGAAUGAGGCCUGGCUCUCUGAAGUUGAAGGUAAAGUAGCAGCCAGAAGCGACAGGCGGCACAGCAGUGAUAUCAACCACCUUGUAACACAGGGCAGAGAGAGCCCUGAAGGGAGUUACACGGACGAUGCAAAUCAGGAAGUUCGAGGCCCACCACAGCAGCAUGCACAUCCAAAUGAAUUUGAUGAUGAGUUUGAAGAUGAUGAUCCAUUACCGGCUAUAGGACAUUGCAAGGCAAUAUAUCCCUUUGAUGGUCAUAACGAAGGCACUCUAGCAAUGAAAGAAGGAGAAAUUUUAUACAUUAUUGAGGAGGACAAAGGAGAUGGGUGGACAAGAGCUCGGAGACAAAAUGGAGAGGAAGGCUAUGUACCAACGUCAUAUAUAGAUGUAACGCUAGAGAAAAACAGCAAAGGUGCAGUAACCUAUAUCUAA
rnacentral:lncRNA from 1 species